ensembl:snRNA U2 U2 spliceosomal RNA
AUCGCUUCUUGGCCUUUUGGCUAAGAUCAAGUGAAACUUCACUAUGAAUCACAGCAUACAGUUCUUAUCUAUCUAUUUACAUCUUAAUUUUUUUUUAAUCUAAGUGGUUCUUUUCUAUUAAAAAGACAGUGAUGGGACUCUUGCACUUAAAGCAAUAUGUACUGAAUUGUC